UCAUAGCGCCACCUGUUGACAAUAGGGCACCUCUUGCUUUAUACUAACUCAAAGAUACCAUGUUUAAUCUGCACUAAAUUUCAUAUGCUUGAUAAAAGUGCUGGACUGAAGAAAUCUACAUGCUAAAAUCGAGUUAUAGUCAUAGCGCCACCAGCUGGCAGCAGGAAUACUUGCACAUAUAAAUGACUUUGACAUAUUUCUCUUAUAUUUACCACAUUAAAUGCAUAUUUCUCGCCGUUCGCUGUUUUACAAAAGCCACCCGCUGGCGGUGAGCCCGGGUGCGAGGGCCCGUUCAUCGCUGCUUGCAGCUUUAAUUAUUAUUAUUCUUCUUCUUCUUCUUCUUCUUCUUCUUCUUCUUCUUCUUCUUCUUCUUCUUCUUCUUCUUCUCCAAAAUGAAUCGCAUUUUUGAGGGCCUAAACAUGCUCGAAAAGUCCUGAAACUUUGCACACGCGUCAGACCUGGUGAAAAUUUACGUCUGAUAUAGGUUUCAGAAGAGGGUGUGGCAAAAUGGCUCGACAGCGCCACCUACCGUAAAAAAAUCAACAGCCCUCGAGCUGUGUUUCACGUAGAUGCACGAAAAUUGGCACACACAUGUAAAGCAUCAGUACCUACAAAAAAGACUCUUGGAGCAAUAUCCGAAACCCAACAGGAAGUCGGUUAUUUUUAAUUUUAUGAGCAAAUUUUGCAUCAUUUUUGUCAUUUGCAUGCCUUGUAUUUUAACGAACUCCUCCUAGAGAUUUAUUCAGAUCAACACCAAAUUUGGUAUGCCUAAUCUAAAGGCCUUUGCGAUGUUAAAUUGCGAAGAUCUUGAGUUUUCGUUGAAGGGCGUGUCCGUGGCGGCCUGACGAAUUUCGAUGAUUCGCCAUGGAAAAUGAAGUUGCUAUAACUCAGACAUACAAUGUCCAAUCUGCCACAAACUUCACAUGUUUGAUAAGACUCCUGACCUGAACAGAUUGAUAUGCCUAUAUUCAGUUAUAGUCAUAGCGCCACCUACUGGCAACAGGAAGUAACAUAUUUUACACUGUAACAAAGUACCCCGAGAAAUUUUAUGACAUAAUUUUUUUUUUUCAGUCACU
ensembl:lncRNA